UGGGGAAUAUUGCACAAUGGGCGGAAGCCUGAUGCAGCGACGCCGCGUGGGGGAUGACGGCCUUCGGGUUGUAAACCUCUUUCAGCUCCGACGAAGCGGGAGUGACGGUAGGAGCAGAAGAAGCGCCGGCCAACUACGUGCCAGCAGCCGCGGUAAUACGUAGGGUGCGAGCGUUGUCCGGAAUUAUUGGGCGUAAAGAGCUCGUAGGCGGCCUGUCGCGUCGGAUGUGAAAGCCCGGGGCUUAACCCCGGGUCUGCAUUCGAUACGGGCAGGCUAGAGUGUGGUAGGGGAGAUCGGAAUUCCUGGUGUAGCGGUGAAAUGCGCAGAUAUCAGGAGGAACACCGGUGGCGAAGGCGGAUCUCUGGGCCAUUACUGACGCUGAGGAGCGAAAGCGUGGGGAGCAAAC
rnacentral:rRNA from 1 species